UACAGAGGGUGCGAGCGUUAAUCGGAAUUACUGGGCGUAAAGCGUGCGUAGACGGUUAUUUAAGUCGGGUGUGAAAGCCCCGGGCUCAACCUGGGAAUUGCAUUCGAGACUGAAUAGCUAGGGUACGGUAGAGGGAAGCGGAAUUUCCGGUGUAGCGGUGAAAUGCGUAGAUAUCGGAAGGAACAUCAGUGGCGAAAGCGGCUUCCUGGACCAGUACCGACGUCAGGCACGAAAGCGUGGGGAGCAAACAGGA
rnacentral:rRNA from 1 species